rnacentral:rRNA from 1 species
UACAGAGGUGGCAAGCGUUGUUCGGAAUUACUGGGCGUAAAGGGCGCGUAGGCGGCCUGUCAAGUCCCGUGUGAAAGCCCCCGGCUCAACCGGGGAACGGCGCGGGAAACUAGCAGGCUUGAGUUCGGGAGAGGGAAGCGGAAUUCCGCGUGUAGCAGUGAAAUGCGUAGAGAUGCGGAGGAACACCGAUGGCGAAGGCAGCCUCCUGGGAUAACACUGACGCUCAGGCACGAAAGCGUGGGGAGCAAACAGG